rnacentral:tRNA from 1 species
GAGGGUGUAGCUUAGUGGUCGAGUGCGUGCUUGGGAUCUAUGAGGUCCUGGGUUCAAUCCCCAGUGCCUCCA